rnacentral:rRNA from 1 species
AUUGAACGCUGGCGGAAUGCUAUACACAUGCAAGUCGAACUGCAGCACGGGGCAACCUGGUGGCGAGUGGCGAACGGGUGAGUAAUACAUCGGAACGUGCCCAAUCGUGGGGGAUAACGUAGCGAAAGCUACGCUAAUACCGCAUACGAUCUACGGAUGAAAGCGGGGGAUCGCAAGACCUCGCGCGAAUGGAGCGGCCGAUGGCAGAUUAGGUAGUUGGUGGGGUAAAGGCUCACCAAGCCGACGAUCUGUAGCUGGUCUGAGAGGACGACCAGCCACACUGGGACUGAGACACGGCCAAGACUCCUACGGGAGGCAGCAGUGGGGAAUUUUGGACAAUGGGCGCAAGCCUGAUCCAGCCAUUCCGCGUGCAGGAUGAAGGCCUUCGGGUUGUAAACUGCUUUUGUACGGAACGAAAAGGCUCUGGUUAAUACCCGGGGCUCAUGACGGUACCGUAAGAAUAAGCACCGGCUAACUACGUGCCAGCCGCCGCGGUAA